UACAACAUAGCAUUAAUGUAUCGGAUCCCAUUAGAACUCUGCAAUUAAGCACGCUCAUUCUAGAGUAGUAUUGGGAUGGGUGACCGCCCGAGAAGUCUUAGUGUUUUAC
rfam:Picea glauca, whole genome shotgun sequence.